rnacentral:tmRNA from 1 species
GGGGUCGACCGGUUUUGACAGCAGGUGGAACUAAACGGUAAGCACGUCGAGCAUUGGACAUUUGGCUCGUAAAUAUCAAGGUUCACACUUUAUAAACGGCGAAAAUAAUUACGCUU